AAUCUUAAUCUCUUAUCUAAAAUCUAUCUUAUUUAUUAUCUAUUUUAUUUUUUCUUUUACGUUAUUGUUAUUUGUUUUGUACCUGAAUACUUUAACUUUUAAAAACGUAAAUUCUAAAGGCCUCAAAGCAGAUACCAAAUUGUUUUAGCCUUUUAUGGUCAUCUCUUUUAUUUCUGGGCACCCACUUUUUAAUUUUCCCCACCCUUAGCUUGUUUCUUAUUAAAACAGGACGCUAGGAAUGAGAAGAGGAAAGCCAACUAACAAGCCAUGACCACUGAUAAAUCAGCAAUGGACUAAGGCUUCCCCAAUGGCUCUGGUGGUGCAUAAUCCCUUUGCCGCUGGAUUCAUGGCAUCUCGGGAGGCACAAAUAACUAGGGCCGCCGCACUUGGACGAGGAGCUGCCACCACAGGGUUUAUCCACUUCUUAGGCUCAAACUGAAGCCUCCAAAUACAAGAAAGAAUGGACUCCAAAUACAGGAAGGAUGGACCUUUCCGGCAGCUUUUUCAUACUCAAUGAAGAGUGGGUUUGAACGAAAAUUUUGGUCAGAAGCUUCUGGUAGGUUUUCCGUUGUUCCAAUAGUCUCUGCAAUCAGGGCAGGUGCAAUUAAGGUUCA